CCUACGGGGGACAGCAGUGGGGGAUAUUGCACAAUGGAGGAAACUCUGAUGCAGCGACGCCGCGUGAGGGACGAAGGUCUUCGGAUUGUAAAACUCUGUCUUUGGGGAAGAAAAUGACGGUACCCAAAGAGGAAGCUCCGGCUAACUACGUGCCAGCAGCCGCGGUAAUACGUAGGGAGCGCGCGUUGUCCGGAAUUACUGGGUGUAAAGGGGGCGUAGGCGGGCGGGAAAGUUGAAUGUUAAAUCUACCGGCUUAACUGGUAGCUGCGUUCAAAAAUUCUUGUCUUGAGUGAAGUAGAGGCAGGCGGAAUGCCUAGUGUAGCGGUGAAAUGCGGAGAUAUUAGGAAGAACACCAGUUGCGAAGGCGGCUCUCUGGUCUGCAACUGACGCUGAGGCUCGAAAGCAUGGGUAGCGAACAGGAUUAGAUACCCUUGUAGUC
rnacentral:rRNA from 1 species